rnacentral:rRNA from 1 species
UACGGAGGGUGCAAGCGUUAAUCGGAAUUACUGGGCGUAAAGCGCGCGUAGGCGGCUUGGUCAGUCAGAUGUGAAAUCCCAGGGCUUAACCUUGGAACUGCAUUUGAUACUGCCAGGCUAGAGUAUGUUAGAGGAAAGCGGAAUUCCAGGUGUAGCGGUGAAAUGCGUAGAUAUCUGGAGGAACAUCAGUGGCGAAGGCG